UCAAAAUAAAAACUUCUGCAGAGCAAAGGAAACAACCAACAAAACUAAAAGAUGAAUAUGACUUUUGCGCUUCCAAUGAAGUCCAGAGCUUUCAGUUUGUUCCAGACUGUCUUCAUUUUUGUAUUUUGGCUCUGAGGAUGGAGUUCGGUUUUUGACAAUACAAGCAUGAAAAGAACUUAAGCCUGCAGAACUAUGAAGAAGGAAUGCAUGAUCAUAAAAUAGAAAACAUAUAUUCGUUCGAUGAUAGUAAACAUAUAUUAAGACAUU